GUAGGCAGCGAGCGUUGUUCGGAGUUACUGGGCGUAAAGCGUGCGUAGGCGGUGUCCUAAGUUUGGUGUGAAAUCUCCCGGCUCAACUGGGAGGGUGCGCCGAAAACUGGGGUGCUGGAGUGUGGGAGAGGUAGGCGGAAUUCCUGGUGUAGCGGUGAAAUGCGUAGAUAUCAGGAGGAACACCUGUGGUGUAGGCGGCUUACUGGACCAUGACUGACGCUGAGGCACGAAAGCGUGGGGAGCAAACAGGAUUAGAUACCCUGGUAGUCCACGCCCUAAACGAUGCAUACUUGGUGUGGGUAAUUCAUUUUAUCCGUGCCGGAGCUAACGCGUUAAGUAUGCCGCCUGGGGAGUACGGUCGCAAGGCUGAA
rnacentral:rRNA from 1 species